rnacentral:sRNA from 1 species
AUUUAUUUUAUUUUAUUUUUGUUUU